CCUGGAACUAAUACCUCUUCAAGCCCCUCCCCACUUUGUUAGAGGAAUUUCUUGGCGCCCCACCCUUCCCUCCUGCUAGCCACCAGGCCGAUUUGGGGUCCAGGAGGGCAUUUCUGGCGUGGGAAAAACACCAACAAAAGCAGGAGAAAGAAGAAGGGCAAAGUCAAAUUGAUAGAGACAAAACCGGGCUGAGAGAGGAGGCUGAGAGUCUGAGCCGGUGGCUCGAAAGGCCUGGAGGGCAGGCUGCGAAGUGUGUGCUGGGCUAGGUGGGAGGCCACGGGGACCGGGAGGUCACAGCUGGAAGGAUGGUUCUGGGACGAUGACAACGUGCUUGCUGCGGGCUGGGUGUGCUCAGACUCCCUGUGGACCAGCCCGCUCGGUCCUCUCGCCGAUGCUAAUGCAGGAAUCACUUCCUUGCAUUGUACAGGAGAGGAAACAGAAGCCCCGAGAGGUGGGGUUGAUUACCCAACGUCACACAGCUUGGAGACCCAUGGUCAAACUCUUCAUGCUCUUGCCAUUUUCACCAUGUGCUCCUUCUCACCGGGCUCAAAGGGGUUGUGAGAACUCGCAAGGCAGUGCUGUGACGAGCUCUAAAACCCUCCACUUGGACGUAAACAUGGUGUCCCAGCAACGUGAUCAUCAUCGCCAGACCCCCAGGGCCACCAAGGUGUCCUUCAGUAGGUGGUGGAUAAACUGUGGCCCAUCCAGACAAUGGACUGUUACCAGCAUGAAAAAGAAAAGAGCUACCAAGCCAU